GCCCGGGGCGGGGGCGGCUGCCGGGGGCCGGCGGCCGAGGGAUGGAGGCGCGGAGGGGAGGAUGCGGAGAGCCGCCCGGCCCUGCCCGUGCCCGUGCCCCUGCCGGUGCCGGGGGAGCCGGGGCCGGUGCCGGUGCCCCCGCCGUUCCCCAUCGCGGUGCGGAGCCGGCAGAAGCCGCGGGCAGGCUCGGGCAGCCCGUCCCUCCAGGCCGCCGCCGCAGCUCCUCGGCGGCCGGCGCGUUCCCCCUGCGUUUCUUUCCAACAGUUUUGCACCAACACCAGUGUCUGUGUGGGCUGGGGAGAGGUGGUUUUUUUUUUCUUCCUUUUUUUUUUUUUUUUUCCUUUCCUCCUCUCUCGCUAAAAGUGUGAUGGGAGCGGGACACGCGCGCACACGCUCCGAGCCGCACACGCACACACACACACACUCCGACCUGCUUUCCCACCCCCUUUUCCUUAAAAUCCUGGCGGCGAGGAUUUCUCUUGGAGGAAUUAAAGUCUCGGCCGCGAAUCGGGAGACGCCGAGUUCCCAGGGACCGCAUCUCGGUGCACUUUUCCUCCUAUUUCCCACGCAGACAAGCAAAUUGCUCGUGCAAAGAGCUUUCAGCACCACGUCUGGACAGGGCGAGAGGAGCGGGGAGAGGGGGAGGGCUGGGGGCUGCAGGCAGAUGGAGCAGAAACCCAAGAAACCCAGCCUCCACCCGGAGCACGCCAGGAGAGCCGCUCUGCAGUCGUGUCGUUUACUUUCUCCGUUAAAUGAAUAUAUAAUUAUUUUAUAUUUUUUUUUGGUAUGAAAUCGCAUGAGAGCCUUAGGGGACCAGAAUUCAUCUCGGUGCCCUUAAUCAGCUUUGAGGAAAAUUUGGCUAAACAGCCCCGCUCUCGCCUCCUCCAGCAAAUCUGCCUUUCCCUAUCCCCACCCGCACACCCGCUCACACCUCGCGGUUCGCUGCUGCCAGCCCCCGGCCUCCUGUCCCCUGUCCCUUGUCCCCUGUCCCCAGCCCCCUAUCCCCGACGGGGCGCCCAGCCGGCCCCCCAGUUCCCAGGCCCUUCCGUGGGCUCGGCCCCCCCCCCACCCCCCGCGCCCCGGCUCAGCCCUCGGCCGCUACCAGCACACGGCAAACCGCAGCGAGCAACGCUUAUAAGCUGCCGAGUGAGGUUUUCGCCGUGGUUUCCCGGGGUCCUGCGUGGAAAAAAAAGAAAAAAAAAAAAAUAACGAGCAGGGUGAAUGAAGGGGGCCUGUAGCCCCAAGCACAGCUGUGCCGGGGGGACGAUGGUAGCCGAGGCCCCCGGGACACACGGGGGUGGCCCCCUCGGGGAUGCUUCGGCCGAGCCUGCGGGGCCGGGGGAGCAAAGAGAAGGGGCUCCCCUGAGCUGCCCUCUGCACCCAGGGCUGGGGGCUGCCCUCCCCUUGUCCCCCUGUUCCUUAAGGGCGAGGGGAUAGUGAGUGCAAGAGGGGAACUGGAGGGGAAUUGGGGCGGGGGGGCACUUUUUGCCCUCGGAGGUGCAAAGUCCGGCUCGCAGAGAGCGCAGCCGCUUCUCGGCGAGCCGCAGGGAGCUUAUCGGGAAGUUGCUGGGCAUCAUCUGUUGAUUAACCAGUGUCUUCCAGUGGGCUCUCGGAGCGGGAGAUAAGGGCCGGCAAUGAUUGACCAGGGGCUGCCCGGGCCGGGGGGGCCGCCGGAGCCCCCCUCCCGGCCGCAGCGCCUCGCAGGCUGCGGGCAGGGCUGCCGGGGUGAACCUUCCUCCGGCCGCCUCCUCCUCCUCCCUCCGAAAAUACAUCCCAAUAGGGAAGGGGGGGAGGGGGGAGGAAUAAUAAAAAAAAAAAUCCAAAGUGAUUUCUCAGUCUCCUCUUUCCUCCCCUGUCUGGCACUUGUGAUCAUUAGCACUGAAAGCUGUUAAUGUCUUGUCUCACAGCUCCCCCUUUAGUCUCUCUGCUCUCCCUGUCUCGCGUUCAAAGCCAGAUCAAUAGCAGGCUCUUUCUAACCUUGACCUAUCCCUCGACCCGCCUCCAUCUGCAGCUGGCCCCGCCGUUGCCUUGUCCCCCCCCCCCGCCGCAGCAGCCCCGCCGAGGGCUCGGGGUCCCCGAGGGCUGCCCCCGGCAUCGCCCCCCUUUGUCCUGGGCAGCACGGCCGCGAUGGGGAAAGGGCCGGUGUCCUCCCGGCCCCCACCCCGCCACCGGCCUGCAACACAGGAGACGAGGCUCCCCAUGCCAAAAAAUAUAACUAAAAAUUUAAAAAUUUAAAAAAUUAAAAAAUAAAAAGGUAAAGAGGGAACAUAACCUGCAAGAAGAGAGCAAGCUCAUUGCUCUCUCUAAAGGUGCUGCUUGCUGUUUGUCCCUUGUUUAAAUUACAGGGGAAAGCGCUUGCAUGCACAAAAUAUCUUGUAUUAGGGUAAUCAUCUUCUCUGUCUUCAUAAUAUGCCAGGGAUUUGAAGAGUUCUCAUCUAGAAACACCGUCCUUAUCAUAGGGGAAAACAAGCUAAUACGAUGUUAAAUAUUCCAUUUCACCCUACACGCGAGGCAUGCUGAGUCAAGAACUCUCAGCACACACAUUCUCAGCUUCUGGGUUUCUCUUUCUUUUCAUUUUUCAAAAUCAUGCAAUGUCUUUAGCUAAAAUUUGGCACGGAUGUAGAUACAUAAAUAACAGUGGGAUCAGUGUAAAGAGGAAGUCCCGAUAUCCUCACGGAAGAUAAGCUUGUUGUGUCACUUGGACACAUUUUGAAUGCAUUUCCACUUUCUCCCCAUUUGCUCAAAUAACUUUUCAGUGGAAGAAAAAAUGGAGCUGCAGAUUCUGUGUGAUGUGAUUUUAGUUUCUUCCCAAUCUUUACUGAGAAAGCUUGUGCUAAGUAGAUUGUUUUUGAUACAAGUCUGGGAGUUGGGAGAGAGAAGAGAGGGAGAGGGAAGAAAAGGAAGGAAGGAAGGAAGGAAGGAAGGAAGGAAGGAGAAGGAAGGAAGGAAGGAAGGAAGGAAGGAAGGAAGGAAGGAAGGAAGGAAGGAAGGAAGGAAGGAAGGAAGGAAGGAAGGAAGGAAGGAAGGAAGGAAGGAAGGAAGGAAGGAAGGAAGGAAGGAAGGAAGGAAGGAAAGAGGUUUGAGACAGUCUUGAGAUGAAUGAGGCUGCUGACCUCAUUCUCUUUGAAUCUUUAAAUGUUGAUGCUUGGGAAAGAAAAGAAGAAGAAAGAAAAGAAAAAAAAAAAAAUGAAGAAUAAACACAGGGCGUUGAUCUGAUCGGCUUAGUUAGCCGCUCCACCUUGUGAAAAGACACAGAAGCACAGGAUCUAACCAGAUCAUAUUUACAUACAUAUUAAUAAAGCUCCCGAGGUGGCAGUUCAGCCUUCACAUACAGUGCAAGGAUCUCUGUGAGUUCUCAUUUUAGACCCAUAAAAAAAAGAUAAAAAGAGGUCUUUUGGGCUUCCCUGAAUAUUUUUCUGCAAUGGUUUUAUAUCAUUUCUGAAAAUUACAUAGUUAAGUGGCAUCAAAUUUCUGGGUGAUAUAAUAACUCAAAAUGUGUAAUUUUUUUGUAUCAAAUCACUUUGCAGCCGUAAACAGAGCUUCAGAACCUCAAUCAGAGGAAUGAUUUGGUGUUUUUUUUUCAUUUAUGGCAAACAGUAAAAUUGUUCUUGUUACCUAUUCAAAUAUAUAUAAAUUGCAACAUUUAUUCACUUGAUUUUCUUUUCCAUGACACUGGUACGUUUUAGGGUGCAGUGAAAUGAAGGCUUAAGAGGAUAAUGUAUUAUCCCCUGCUUCAUUCCUGAGACAUUUUGGAAAGAGGCAAAAGUGAUGCAGAUUGUACUGUGUUUUCAAGACAUUUGGUGUCCCUUCAUUUUUGGUGGCUGUCACUUGCUAAUGUUUCCAGGAGUGAAUUUCAAAAAUGAGAUUUCCUCAACAUUUACAUUCUAAGCCUUCCCCAGAGUCCCCUUCUUAUUCAAUGGACCUGAGUUUUUUGUUUGUUGUUUGUUUGUUCAUUCUUACUUUUUUUUCUUCCCUGCACAAUCCUUCAUUUUUCCAACUCUUCCCAAGUGGUAAGCAUACUAGAUAGCUGUCCAAAUGUUGGGACUCAGUUUUAUUUCCAAACCUUUUUUUCACUUAAAACAAGGAAAACAAAAACAAAAGCAAUGCCUGUUUCACUCACAUACACACACACCCCAAAAAAUGAAUCACAGAACCAGCAAGCAAGAAGAAAACCACUGGGUUUUAUUUUUGAUUUUUUUUUUUUGAUCAGACAAAAUGCAGGAUUGGGGCCUGACUUCCUUCUUCAGUUUAAAAAGUACAUUUCUAAAGACAUAAUUUGGUCUGUUUGAGAUUCAGACUUUCCAGCAGUAGAAAAUCAGCUGAGUUCCCAUUGUGAGGAGACCCCCAGGGACUACAGGGAGAGUAAGACUUGCCCCUACCUUUGAGGCUCUCUCUGAAAGCCCUGUAAUAAAUUUCUCUAGCACCUCAAUUUGCUCAGAGCCAUGUCAGAGUGAGAGGAGGGUGAUCAGCACACAUCCCACACCAGGCCACCUGCAUCUGCGUGUACACAGGCAAAGGUAGAGGGGAACACACCUUCCAGGAUCCCAGUACCGGUCAGGCGUCCCAUCUGCUGUAACUAAGGAUGCCACCGAGGAUGCCACUUGGGCAUCCACAUAAUUUUGGGCUUGUCAUUGUUAUUCACCAAAAUAAAUAAAUAAAUAAAUAAAAUAAAAGAAGAUGGGCAAAAUCUGCUGUUGCUGGGGAGGCUUUUUUUUUUUUUAAAAAAAAAAAAAAAAAGCUGGCAUGAAUUCCCUAACGAAUUCAGUCCAAGGAUUGUUUGUGUCUUUGGAAAGCAAGUGCCAUCACUGCUCAAUGCAGUAAGCUGAGCUUUGUGAACCAGCACUAGUUAGCACAGGCUUCACUGAAAAUAAAUAAAUAACACUACAUCCUCCUAGAAACCGAGACAUAUUUUCCUCCAAAGAAGUACUUUUAAAACUGUCCUCCAUUAUGUAAAAGCAUAACAUUUCCUCUGUCCAGAGAUUCAUGCACAACUCGGUGUGGCAAACUCGGUUUGAGGGGACAAAGAACCCCUCCUCCAUACAUACUCCUUGGAUCUUAUAUGUCCUGAAAUACAGGAUCCAUACAGCUCUCCUCUGCUUUCAAGUGUAAGUGUGUAAGUUUCAACCAAUUUCUUCUCUCCCUCUUCUCAGAUGAUUUUAAGAGGAUUUGAAAUCUUUGGAUUGUUUAAAAUAACAAAGGCCUCUAAGCUUUGAAUGUGGCAAUGAAAUCUUCAGCUUGAACUCAUGACAGAAACAUUCCAGCCUGUCUCUUGUGAAUCAUGAAAAUCUGAAUCUGAACAUCAGAAAAGAAAGGCACCUCAUUCAUUCUUGUUCUUUAUUCCUCUCUGUUCUUCCUACUUUAUUUUAUUCAAAUAGGGUGUAUUCAUAGUAACAUGAAUGGUGGUGCUGCUUGUUUUUGUUGUUAUUAUCAGUAUUGCUAUUAUUAUUUUUAUUUUAACUUGGGCAGCUGAACUCAAACAGGGAAAUUCAUCGGUUUCUGGAUUCAGUAGCAGCCUCUGCAGUUUCAUUAUUCCUGUUGACAAUUAGGGAACAGAGAAGUGCAGAUGCCUGGCCUGGGAGUGCUUGUGUAUUGCACCCAAAUUACACAUUCUUGUUCACACAGAGUGAAGCAAAGUAUGAAUGUGAACGUCAUUGCUCGUGUCUCAGGCAACUACUCACAUCUUAAUUGAAAAUGAUCAAAUAACAGCAUUCCCGUGGACAAACAAGUGCCACCUAUCUCUGCACUCAUCGAGGACAGCAGAGCUGAAAAGCAGGGCAGGAGCUGCCUUGGCCAUCACACCCCAGAACAAGACGCCCAGGGCUGGUCUGUGCUUCCUCCCCUCUCAGCUCUUUGGAGGUGGCCUCAGUGGUGAUGGCAGGGGCGUGAUCCUGGCAUCAGGAUCCUGAUUGCCACUGUCCCUGCUCUGAUUUCGCAGGUCCCCAGACACCUUGACUUUCCUUCUGCUUGGGAGCUACAGGUCACCACCAGGACACUGGGUGGGUUGUUCCUCACUCCUCACCUGGCACUUUGAAGUUUGGGAUGAACUGGUCCACCUGAGAGCUGGGUGGACCAAAGGGUUGGUGGUACCAUACUCAGAGGCCGCAGAGAUGCAAAGCAUCUACAGAGCAGCAAAUGAAGUCUUUUCUGAGCCAACUGUUCCACCUGGACCCCACUACAAAUUAUUGUUUUCAAUUACCACCUGUGUACUCUUUCCCAUGCAACUUAUUGAUGUAAAAUUACAACAACACUGGUAUAAAUAAGUUAUGCUGCGGUUGUAAAAUGGAAGAAAUUUUGUUGUAGCAAUUAUGUUCAGCAAGAUGACAAAAUAAAUUUCCAGUGCUGUGCUUGCAGUAACCUGGGGAAUUUAAACCUCAUAAUUUCCAUUCAUUUCAGAUAAUUUGGAGUAAUUUCUAUAUGUAAUAACUUUGUAAUGAAAAACACAGCGGUACUGAAGUGAUUUCAACUCUUUUUUUUUUUUCCUAUGGUAUACAUGGCACAAAAUAAAUAAUAAAAAUAAUAUUUCCUUU